rnacentral:rRNA from 1 species
GGAUUUUAUUUGUAGCAAUACCGAUAAAAUCUAGUGGCGGACGGGUGCGUAACACGUGAGCAAUCUGCCGGGAAGUGGGGGAUAACUCGCCGAAAGGCGAAUUAAUACCGCAUGUGGCCAAGGAAGACAUCUUCCCAAAGCCAAAGUCGCAAGACGCUUCCUGAUGAGCUCGCGGCCUAUCAGCUAGUUGGUGAGGUAACGGCUCACCAAGGCUAUGACGGGUAGCUGGUCUGAGAGGACGACCAGCCACACUGGAACUGAGACACGGUCCAGACACCUACGGGUGGCAGCAGUCGAGAAUCUUUCACAAUGGGGGAAACCCUGAUGGAGCGACGCCGCGUGGAGGAUGAAGGUCUUCGGAUUGUAAACUCCUGUCAAAUGGGAACAAGAAAGUGAUAGUACCAUUAGAGGAAGAGACGGCUAACUCUGUGCCAGCAGCCGCGGUAAUACAGAGGUCUCAAGCGUUGUUCGGAUUCAUUGGGCGUAAAGGGUGCGCAGGCUGCGGGGUAAGUCGGAUGUGAAAUUUAGGGGCUCAACCUCUAAACUGCAUUCGAUACUGCUCUGCU